GAUGAAGAACGCAGCGAAAUGCGAUAAGUAAUGUGAAUUGCAGAAUUCAGUGAAUCAUCGAAUCUUUGAACGCACAUUGCGCCCGCUAGUAUUCUGGCGGGCAUGCCUGUCCGAGCGUCAUUUCAACCCUCAAGCCCCCGGGCUUGGUGUUGGGGAUCGGCGAGCCUCCGCGCCCGCCGUCCCCUAAAUCUAGUGGCGGUCUCGCUGUAGCUUCCUCUGCGUAGUAGCACACCUCGCACUGGGAAACAGCGCGGCCACGCCGUUAAACCCCCAACUUCUGAACGUUUGACUUCGGAUCAGGUAGGAAUACCCGCUGAACUUAAGCAUAUCAAUAAGCGGAGGA
rnacentral:misc_RNA from 1 species